rnacentral:tRNA from 2 species
UCCUCGAUAGCUCAAUGGUAGAGCACACGGCUGUUAACCGUGGGGUUGUUGGUUCGAGCCCAACUCGGGGAGCUA